rnacentral:rRNA from 1 species
UACGGAGGAUGCAAGCGUUAUCCGGAAUUAUUGGGCGUAAAGCGUCCGCAGGUGGCACUUCAAGUCUGUCGUCAAAGACCGGGGCUUAACCCUGGAAAGGCGAUGGAAACUGAACAGCUAGAGUAUGGUAGGGGCAGAGGGAAUUCCUGGUGUAGCGGUGAAAUGCGUAGAGAUCAGGAAGAACAUCGGUGGCGAAGGCGCUCUGCUGGACCAUAACUGACACUCAGGGACGAAAGCUAGGGGAGCGAAUGGG